rnacentral:lncRNA from 1 species
UGAUGGCUCCUCUGACUUUAGGGGUCCAGGGAGAUAUAUAUAUAUAUAUAUAUAUAUAUAUAUAUAUAUAUAUAUAUAUAUUUAUUUAUUUAUUUAUUUUAUACUUAUUUUUCAUAGCUGAAUAUACAAAUAUUAUCAUAAUAAACGCGUUAACAGCAACCCUCUUUAUAGGAGCAUUACUAAACCCUACUUCCCCUGAAAUUUUUACAUUAAGCUUUACUCUAAAAACACUCAUACUAACCUCCAUCUUUCUAUGAAUCCGAGCAUCCUAUCCUCGAUUCCGUUACGACCAACUUAUACAUCUUCUAUGAAAAAAUUUUCUGCCUCUAACAUUAGCCUUAUGCAUAUGACAUAUCUCUCUUCCAGUUACAGCUGCAUGUGUGCCACCUCAAAUCUAAGAAAUAUGUCUAUAU